UACGUAGGGCGCAAGCGUUAUCCGGAAUUAUUGGGCGUAAAGAGCUCGUAGGCGGUUUGUCGCGUCUGCCGUGAAAGUCCGGGGCUCAACUCCGGAUCUGCGGUGGGUACGGGCAGACUAGAGUGAUGUAGGGGAGACUGGAAUUCCUGGUGUAGCGGUGAAAUGCGCAGAUAUCAGGAGGAACACCGAUGGCGAAGGCAGGUCUCUGGGCAUUAACUGACGCUGAGGAGCGAAAGCAUGGGGAG
rnacentral:rRNA from 1 species